CAGUCUUGAUUGUCAUAGCUUUAUGACAUCAUAAAAUCAGGUAGGGUAAGUUUCUGGAAUUUUCUUUUCAGUGUUGUUUUGCUUAUCUUGGGUCUUUUGCAUCCCACAUGAAUUUUAGAAUCAGUUUAUUUCUUCUAAAAAAAUUGAUCUGCUGGAAUUCUGACACUGUUUUCAAUCUAUAUAUCAACUUUGGAAAAUGAACAAUGUUGUUUCCACCCAUCCAAAAACAUUUUGCAUUUUUCCAUUUACAUGAAAGGAAGGAAAAGUGCUAUUAUUAAUCCUCAAAUACCUCAUGCUUUAAGGAAAAACCAAACAAAAUCAAGAAAGGAUGACAACACAGCCUGCAUAGAAACCUGGCAAUGCCUUUUAACCUGAUGACCUCGAUGAGCAAACUACUAAAAUUUUCACAGUGAGAGAUGUAAGAGGACUCCAGAAACACAAAACAAAACAAAACAAUACAACAAUAAAAAACAAGGAAAGACAGAGAAGCUGAAUAGCCUUGAUCAAGACAAGGACAGAGUGUCAUUGGCAUGUACAAAAGCACCAGCUAAACAAGUCAUCCAAGACUCCUUGCUUCAGUUGGAAAGAAUGUCCUCUGUAGCAAUGUGCAGUUUCCGAUUUUUCCUGCUCAAGAGAAUGGAUCUCGAGGAGACAGUGGCAAGAAAUAAGCUGCAGGCAUUCAUUUACUAAAUGUUUGCUCAUUGUCUAUUAUUCAUUGGACAUAUGUUUAAUAAAUAUUUCCUGAG
rnacentral:lncRNA from 1 species